rnacentral:rRNA from 1 species
CCUACGGGUGGCAGCAGUGAGGAAUAUUGGUCAAUGGGCGGGAGCCUGAACCAGCCAAGUCGCGUGAGGGAAGACGGUCCUAUGGAUUGUAAACCUCUUUAGGCGGGGAGCAAUGCCGGGCACGCGUGCCCGGAGGGAGAGUACCCGCAGAAUAAGCAUCGGCUAACUCCGUGCCAGCAGCCGCGGUAAUACGGAGGAUGCGAGCGUUAUCCGGAUUUAUUGGGUUUAAAGGGUGCGUAGGCGGAUUUUUAAGUCAGCGGUAAAAUGUCCGGGCUCAAUCCGGGCCGGCCGUUGAAACUGGGGAUCUUGAGUGGGCGAGAAGUAUGCGGAAUUCCUAGUGUAGCGGUGAAAUGCGUAGAUAUUAGGAGGAACACCAGUGGCGAAGGCGGCCUACUGGACGGUGACUGACGCUGAGGCUCGAAAGCGUGGGGAGCAAACAGGAUUAGAUACCCGUGUAGUC